CAACAAAGCUGGACGAAGCCAUACUAUCGCAGUGGAACGACCUGUUCUUUGUAGCGAUUAUUAAGUGUUUACACUGCUUAAAGUCUUUUAAAGGCAAUAUGCCAGGUCCCAUAGUUCAGUGCGGGACUGCCACAACGGUACCCGUGGGCUAAAGAAGUGGAUGGAAGAGUUUUGCCCUAUUCACGAGUGCAAUAAAGGAACCUCGCGCUGUCUUAGUGACCCGCCUUAUGUACUCGUCACAUUUCCUACUGAAAGAAAAGAUCCAGAACGUCGUGCCGAAUGGAUUAAAUUACAUCGACUUUACAACGCUCAAAGUAAUCAAUAUCUGCGUCACGCUCGGCCAUGUUUAUGAUAUGGGGUAUCCCGACCUUUGACCCGGACCAGCAUACCUUGCGUGCGGGGAGGGCCCCCAGACAUCCAACACAAACCAAAUCUCACUCUAAGGUCUGGUCACAAGUUGGCAGCCCUGUGUUUCUACCAGCAGACACUGAAAGGACUCUGAUAGUUUGAGUGAAAGUAGCAGUUCCUCCUUAAGGUCAGAGAUUGCAGAAUCUGAGGGCUUCUUCAAAAGAAGACGUAGUUGAUGAAGGCGUUCUGGAGCAGGACCAAAAAGACCACGACCAAGCAGCCUUGAGAUCUUAGGCAGCGUCUCCCUCAGCUUCAGCUCCAGAGACGGCAGGUGGGACGAGUCAACGGAGGCCUGGUGGACGAAGGCAUGCAGCUGAGUACAAUCCAGAAAACAACAGAGGAGGAGUGCAGCAGCCCAGGACCAGAACAAACAGAGUAGCAUCGUAUGUCUCUGAGAAAACAUCAUAGUAUAGCCUUUGGUUUGAAAAAACGCCAUCAUAUACAUCGUAUAUUGUACAAAUAACAAGUCAAAGGAAAGACACAUACAUUGUAGAAUUGUAGUAAUUGUUUGCUGACUGAUUUACUGAUUAUCAGUAUUUUAUUUUUUACUGAUUUACGGUAAUAAAUACAUUUAAAAAUGGUGCUACUUUGGCUCUGAACCUUUAUCUACCUGUGGUUGCUCUGUCUUCUGGAGUGAUUUGAUUGGUUAUA
ensembl:lncRNA